rnacentral:rRNA from 1 species
CAGUAGCCGCGGUAAUACGGAGGAUCCAAGCGUUAUCCGGAAUUAUUGGGUUUAAAGGGUGCGUAGGCGGCAUGCUAAGUCAGGGGUGAAAGACGGUGGCUCAACCAUCGCAGUGCCUUUGAUACUGGUGUGCUUGAAUGUACAUGAGGUAGGCGGAAUGAGACAAGUAGCGGUGAAAUGCAUAGAUAUGCCACAGAACACCGAUUGCGAAGGCAGCUUACCAAGGCAAAAUUGACGCUGAGGCACGAAAGCGUGGGGAUCGAACAGGAUUAGAUACCCCCGUAGUCCCUGUCUCUUAUAC